rnacentral:rRNA from 1 species
UACGAAGGGGGCUAGCGUUGCUCGGAAUCACUGGGCGUAAAGGGUGCGUAGGCGGGUUUUUAAGUCAGAGGUGAAAUCCUGGAGCUCAACUCCAGAACUGCCUUUGAUACUGAGAAUCUUGAGUAUGGGAGAGGUGAGUGGAACUGCGAGUGUAGAGGUGAAAUUCGUAGAUAUUCGCAAGAACACCAGUGGCGAAGGCGACUUACUGGACACAUAUUGACGCUGAGGUGCGAAAGCGUGGGGAGCAAACAGG